rnacentral:rRNA from 1 species
UACGGAGGAUUCGAGAGUUAUCCGGAUUUAUUGGGUUUAAAGGGUGCGUAGGCGGACUGGUAAGUCAGAUGUGAAAGUUUAAGGAUCAAUCGUGAGAUUGCAGUUGAUACUGUUUGUCUUGAGUAUACAUGAGGUGGGCGGAAUUUGUGGUGUAGCGGUGAAAUGCUUAGAUAUCACAAAGAACUCCAAUUGCGAAGGCAGCUCACUGGGGUAUAACUGACGCUGAUGCACGA